rnacentral:rRNA from 1 species
GACAGAGGGUGCAAACGUUGUUCGGAAUUACUGGGCGUAAAGCGUGUGUAGGCGGCCACGUAAGUCGGAUGUGAAAGCCCCGGGCUCAACCCGGGAAGUGCACUCGAUACUGCAUGGCUCGAGUACCGGAGAGGUUGGUGGAAUUCUCGGUGUAGAGGUGAAAUUCGUAGAUAUCUGGAGGAACAUCGGUGGCGAAGGCGGCAUCCUGGACCGGUAUUGACGCUGAGGCGCGAAAGCCAGGGGAGCAAACGGG